UACGAAGGGGGCUAGCGUUGUUCGGAAUUACUGGGCGUAAGGCGCACGUAGGCGGACUAUUAAGUCAGGGGUGAAAUCCCGGGGCUCAACCCCGGAACUGCCUCUGAUACUGGUAGUCUAGAGUCCGGAAGAGGUGAGUGGAAUUCCGAGUGUAGAGGUGAAAUUCGUAGAUAUUCGGAGGAACACCAGUGGCGAAGGCGGCUCACUGGUCCGGUACUGACGCUGAGGUGCGAAAGCGUGGGGAGCAAACAGG
rnacentral:rRNA from 1 species